CCUUGAUCCGGAUACUAGAAGACCCGGACCGGCUGGGGGUGGGGGGUGGGGUACGAGCCUCUAGGAACAGCCAGCCCUCACGGAGAAAAACCUCUCGCCCUGAGGGUCUUGAGCAUCCUGAACUCUCUCCUCCCCUGACAGCCACUGCCGCCUCCUCUCUUCCUAGGAUCCAGUCACUCUCCUUGCCUUUUCCAUGACGCCAGUGGAGGAGAACUCUGAAAGUUUGCAAAGUGAGGGGUUGCAAGGAGGGUGCCAGUGCUGGGACCACGAGAGGUGAUUAAAGAAGGGUGCCUGAUGCUCAGGUGUGUCUGGCGAGGUAGACAGAUGCUCCCUGCCCAAUGUGACCAGUCCCAUGAAAUGUGCUACAGAUCGCAGCCUGUAUGGAGCAAGAAUCAAGGAGCAGGGAAGUCUUCCUGGAGGAGGAGGUGUUGUGAAGCAAAGGCUUCAGUUCCUACUCCCCUUCCUGGCCAUGCCCUGGAACCUUACCUACCCCUCUAGCUAGGAUUUACUUCCCACUCAUUCUCACUCUUCCCACUUGUUGCAGAUUAACUGGGCACCAGUUAAGGUGGACACUUUUGGCUAUUUUGAGGGAUGUGAUCUGCAGGCUUCUGGCUCUAAAACUCAAAUUCAUUGUUGCUCAGGCCAAAAACUGGAGGCAUCCUUGACUUCUCUCACUAUCCUGGGACUCCUCUAAUCAUCAUCUCACUGCUACUGCUGCUCUCCUGGUCCCAGCUAUCAUCUUUCUCACCUGGAUCACUGCAACAGCUUCCUAAUGGUUUGUUUCCACCUCUGCCUCCUGAUAGUCUGUUCUCAACAUGGCAUCAGGGUGAUCCUUUUAAAACGUAAGUUAGAUGUCAAUCCUCUGCUCAAAACCCUGUAAUGUUCUUAUCUCACUCAGCAUAAAAAAUCCUUACAUAGGCCAACAAGCUUCUUUAUGUGAGUCCCCUUGCCUGCCUGCCUAGCCCCCUUUGCUUCAACCAAGAUGGCUGUUACUCCUCUUCUGACAUGCCAGGCAUAUUCCUGUCUUAAGGCAUUUGUACUGUUGCCUCUUCCUGAAAUGCUCUUCCCCUAGAUAUGCACAUGACUACCUAUUAAAUACCACUUCAAUAAAACCACCCCAACAUGCCCUGUUUAAAAUUAUAGCCCAUCUUCACCCCAAGCCCUUCUAAAUCCUGCUGAAUUGUUUCAUGACACCACCUGCUAACAUAUAAUUUACUUAUUUAUCAUAUUUGGGGAGAAGUGCUCCAGACAUGUUAAGCAAGAGCUAGAAGGGAAUGAGGCUAAGGGAAUAUGAAGGGUGGAGAUAAAGUGCAAACUGGGAGAAUAUAUUUGUACCAUAUAUAACUGGUUAAGGAUUAAUAUCCAGGAUAUAUAAAGAACACCUUCAAAUCAACCAGAAAAAAAAAAGCCAUCUAUAUAAGUUUGUUACUGUAGUUGUUGUAACAAAUUACCACAAACUUAAUGACUUAAGACAACACAAAUUUAUUACAGUACUGGGGAUCAAAAAUCCAAACUCACAGGGCUUAAAUCAAGGUGUCAGCACAGCUGUGUUCCUUCUGGAGACUCUAGGGAAAAAUCCAUUUCCUUGCUUUUAUGGGUUUACUAGAGGAUGAUCACAUUCCUCUAGUAAGGACCCCUUUCAUCUUCAGAGCCAGUAAUCACAUCACUCAGACUUUUGCUUCCAUCAUCAUAUCUCUUCUGGUUCUUCUGUCUCUUUCUUUCACUUACUAGGACACUUGUGAUAACAGGGCACCCACCCAAACAAUCCAGGAUAAUUUCAUCAUUUCCAGAUCCUAAAUUUAGUUAUAUCUGCGAAAUCCCCUUUGUCAUGUAAGGUAACAUACUCACAGGUUCUGGGUGGACAUCUUUGGGGGUGGGGGGGCAUAAUUCUACUUACUAUACAGUCUAAUAGAAAAAUAGACAAAAGACAUGAAAAGACAUUCCAAAACGGAGUAAACACAUAUGAAACCUUUAUUCAUCAGGGAAAUAAAAACUAAAAUCACAAUGAAAUACCAUCACACACUCUCCAAAUUACUAAAAAAAUUUUAAAAAUAAUUGAGAACGAGGAACAAAGGACAACACUUUCAUUAAAUAUUUGACAGUAUGUAGUAAGUUUGAACAUACACAUACUUUACAACUCAGCAAUUGUGCUCCAAGAUAUUAGAAGUUAUUAUAUGUAUAUGUGCAACAGAAAACCUACAAGAAUGUUACUGGCAGCACUGCUAAAAAAAAAAAAA